rnacentral:tRNA from 1 species
GGCCCGGUGGCGAAAUGGGAACGCUGCGGUCUGCAAAACCGUCAUGGAACCGGUUCGACUCCGGUCCGGGCCUCCA